GAGACAGUUCAUAGAGUGUAAAGGCAUAAGGGAGCUUGACUGCGAGACCUACAAGUCGAGCAGGGUCGAAAGACGGACUUAGUGAUCCGGUGGUUCCGCAUGGAAGGGCCAUCGCUCAACGGAUAAAAGCUGCCCCGGGGAUAACAGGCUUAUCUCCCCCAAGAGUUCACAUCGACGGGGAGGUUUGGCACCUCGAUGUCGGCUCAUCGCAUCCUGGGGCUGUAGUCGGUCCCAAGGGUUGGGCUGUUCGCCCAUUAAAGCGGUACGCGAGCUGGGUUCAGAACGUCGUGAGACAGUUCGGUCCCUAUCCGUCGUGGGCGUAGGAAAUUUGAGAGGAGCUGUCCUUAGUACGAGAGGACCGGGAUGGACAUACCUCUGGUGUACCAGUUGUCGUGCCAACGGCAUAGCUGGGUAGCUAUGUGUGGACGGGAUAAGUGCUGAAAGCAUCUAAGCAUGAAGCCCCCCUCAAGAUGAGAUUUCCCAACUUCGGUUAUAAGAUCCCUCAAAGAUGAUGAGGUUAAUAGGUUCGAGGUGGAAGCAUGGUGACAUGUGGAGCUGACGAAUACUAAUCG
rnacentral:rRNA from 1 species